rnacentral:rRNA from 1 species
ACUCCUACGGGAGGCAGCAGUGGGGAAUAUUGCGCAAUGGGCGAAAGCCUGACGCAGCGACGCCGCGUGAGGGAUGAAGGCCUUCGGGUCGUAAACCUCUUGUCAGGAGGGAAGAAAUGCCAGCGGGCUAAUAUCCCGUUGGUUUGACGGUACCUCCGGAGGAAGCACCGGCUAACUCCGUGCCAGCAGCCGCGGUAAUAC